AGCGAACGCUGGCGGCAGGCCUAACACAUGCAAGUCGAACGGAUCCUUCGGGAUUAGUGGCGGACGGGUGAGUAACACGUGGGAACGUGCCCUUUGGUUCGGAACAACUCAGGGAAACUUGAGCUAAUACCGGAUGUGCCCUUCGGGGGAAAGAUUUAUCGCCAUUGGAGCGGCCCGCGUCUGAUUAGCUAGUUGGUGAGGUAACGGCCCACCAAGGCGACGAUCAGUAGCUGGUCUGAGAGGAUGAUCAGCCACACUGGGACUGAGACACGGCCCAGACUCCUACGGGAGGCAGCAGUGGGGAAUCUUGCGCAAUGGGCGAAAGCCUGACGCAGCCAUGCCGCGUGAAUGAUGAAGGUCUUAGGGUUGUAAAAUUCUUUCAGCGGGGACGAUAAUGACGGUACCCGCAGAAGAAGCUCCGGCUAACUUCGUG
rnacentral:rRNA from 1 species